AAAAUUCCGUUGCAGUGAGUCCUAGGCAGGAGUUUGGGAUUAUUGGAGGUGACAGCUUGCCCCGGACGGGUGAAUCUCGGCCACCCUGUGCGGAGGUGCAGGCAGUCGCUGUCUGCUGACCAGCGCAGAAGGAAGCGUUUCAGCACUGCCAGAGACCUGUGUGGCGUAGGGACCCUUUGAAGAGGUUGCUAACCAAGCCUUCAUGAAACAGCGGACCAGAACUGAAACCGAGUCUGGGGCAGACCAGAGACAGGCCAGACCCACCCCUCCCAUCGGACACUCCGGCUCGCCAUAGCAGAGAGCUGAUGUCACCAGAGUUCAGCGAACGGGAUCCCUUCCCAGCGAAAUCGCUUCAACAGAUCAGAUGAGAAAUAUAUGAAGAAUAAACACUUCAGCAGAAUUAUAUUAAGUAUGCAUGACUAUUCCCGUUGUAGAAAAAGAAGCUGAACUUGACCAAAGGU